rnacentral:rRNA from 2 species
GGCGUCGACCGGCGCACGGGUGAGUAACGCGUAUCCAACCUGCCUCUGACUGAGGGAUAACCCGUCGAAAGUCGGCCUAAUACCUCAUGGCAUCGUCUGCGGGCAUCCAACGACGAUUAAAGAUUUCAUCGGUCAGGGAUGGGGAUGCGUCUGAUUAGCUUGUUGGCGGGGUAACGGCCCACCAAGGCUACGAUCAGUAGGGGUUCUGAGAGGAAGGUCCCCCACAUUGGAACUGAGACACGGUCCAAACUCCUACGGGAGGCAGCAGUGAGGAAUAUUGGUCAAUGGGCGGGAGCCUGAACCAGCCAAGUAGCGUGCAGGAUGACGGCCCUAUGGGUUGUAAACUGCUUUUAUGCGGGGAUAAAGUGAGGGACGUGUCCUUCAUUGCAGGUACCGCAUGAAUAAGGACCGGCUAAUUCCGUGCCAGCAGCCGCGGUAAUACGGAAGGUCCGGGCGUUAUCCGGAUUUAUUGGGUUUAAAGGGAGCGUAGGCCGUGGAUUAAGCGUGUUGUGAAAUGCAGGUGCUCAACGUCUGCACUGCAGCGCGAACUGGUCCACUUGAGUGUGCGCAACGCAGGCGGAAUUCGUCGUGUAGCGGUGAAAUGCUUAGAUAUGACGAAGAACUCCGAUUGCGAAGGCAGCUUGCGGGAGCACAACUGACGCUGAAGCUCGAAAGUGCGGGUAUCGAACAGGAUUAGAUACCCUG